GUGCUCUCUUCGGCAGCACAUAUACUAAAAUUGGAAUGACACAGAGGUUAACAUGGCCCCUGCGCAAGGAUGACAUGCAAAUUUGUGAAGUGUUCCAUAUUUUU
rfam:Myotis davidii contig158571, whole genome shotgun sequence.